UACGGGGGGAGCAAGCGUUGUUCGGAUUUACUGGGCGUAAAGGGCGCGGUAGGCGGUCGUGACAAGUCACUUGUGAAAUCUCCGGGCUUAAACUCGGAACGGUCAAGUGAUACUGUCGGACUAGAGUACAGAAGGGGCAACUGGGAAUUCUCGGUGUAGCGGUGAAAUGCGUAGAUAUCGAGAGGAACACCUGCGGCGAAGGCGGGUUGCUGGGCUGAUACUGACGCUGAGGCGCGAAAGCCAGGGGAGCGAACGGG
rnacentral:rRNA from 1 species